rnacentral:lncRNA from 1 species
GCAAAUUUUCAAAAAUCACUGUUUUAAAUUAUAUGACAUUCAAAAUCUUGUAAAUAUUUCACUACUCGAUCAAUUUCUGAUCUAAGAUUUACAAAUAAUUUUAAAAGCUGCUCUUGAAGAAACCUAAAGCCAUUUGAAGGUUUAUUCACACGACUGAUGUAUGCUUGUAGCAUUAUACAAGGGAGAAACCAAGCUUGGAAUAAUCAAACCAAAAAG